rnacentral:hammerhead_ribozyme from 1 species
AUCCACCUGUCAAGUCCCAAACAGGACGAAACCCGCGUCAUAGAU